rnacentral:rRNA from 1 species
CUUAGCAGAGAUGCUUUGGUGCCUUCGGGAACUCUGAGACAGGUGCUGCAUGGCUGUCGUCAGCUCGUGUUGUGAAAUGUUGGGUUAAGUCCCGCAACGAGCGCAACCCUUAUCCUUUGUUGCCAGCGGCUCGGCCGGGAACUCAAAGGAGACUGCCGGUGAUAAACCGGAGGAAGGUGGGGAUGACGUCAAGUCAUCAUGGCCCUUACGGCCAGGGCUACACACGUGCUACAAUGGCGCAUACAAAGAGAAGCGACCUCGCGAGAGCAAGCGGACCUCAUAAAGUGCGUCGUAGUCCGGAUUGGAGUCUGCAACUCGACUCCAUGAAGUCGGAAUCGCUAGUAAUCGUAGAUCAGAAUGCUACGGUGAAUACGUUCCCGGGCCUUGUACACACCGCCCGUCACACCAUGGGAGUGGGUUGCAAAAGAAGUAGGUAGCUUAACCUUCGGGAGGGCGCUUACCACUUUGUGAUUCAUGACUGGGGUGAAGUCGUAACAAGGUAGGCGUAGUGCU